CUGUCUUAUUUAUAUAAAUUGAAUUUAAUUUUUAAGUGAAAAGGCUUAAAUAUAGGAAAGGGACGAUAAGACCCUAUAAAACUUUAUAUAAAUAAUAAUAUAUUUUAGAGUUAUAAGUUUAGUAAGUUAUAGUAUUAUUAAUAUUUUAUUGGGGCGAUAGAAAUAUAGUAAACUGUUUUUAAAUUAAUCAAAUAUUGUUGAUUUGAAUGAUCCUUAUAUAGAGAUUAAAAGGAUAAGUUACUUUAGGGAUAACAGCGUAAUCUUUUUUGAGAGUUCAUAUCAAUAAAAGGGAUUGCGACCUCGAUGUUGAAUUAAAAUUUCUUUAUGGUGCAGUAGUUAUAAAAGAAGGUCUGUUCGACCUUUAAAUUUUUA
rnacentral:rRNA from 1 species